UACAGAGGUGCCAAGCGUUAGGCGGAAUCACUGGGCUUAAAGCGCGUGUAGGCGGGUCGUUAAGUGUCCGAGUGAAAUCCCACGGCUCAACCGUGGAACUGCCGGGCAUACUGGCGAUCUUGAGGCAUUCAGGGGCGAGCGGAACAAAUGGUGGAGCGGUGAAAUGCGUAGAUAUCAUUUGGAACGCCAAUGGUGAAAACAGGUAGCUGGGGCUGUGCUGACGCUGAGACACGAAAGCCAGGGGAGCAAACGGG
rnacentral:rRNA from 1 species